rnacentral:rRNA from 1 species
AUUGAACGCUGGCGGCAGGCCUAACACAUGCAAGUCGAGCGGAGCGGCGGACGGGUGAGUAAUGCCUAGGAAUCUGCCUGGUCCUGGGGGAGAACGUCCGGAAACGGGCGCUAAUACCGCUUCCUCUCAGAUGAGCCUGGGUCGGAUUAGCUAGUUGGUGGGGUAACGGCCUACCCAGGCGACGAUCCGUAACUGGUCUGAGAGGAUGAUCAGUCACACUGGAACUGAGACACGGUCCAGACUCCUACGGGAGGUAGCAGUGGGGAAUAUUGGACAAUGGGCGAAAGCCUGAUCCAGCCAUGCCGCGUGUGUGAAGAAGGUCUUCGGGUUGUAAAGCACUUUCAGCUGGGAGGCGUUACCAGCAGAAGAAGCACCGGCUAACUUCGUGCCAGCAGCCGCGGUAAUAC